UUCUCUCUGUCUUUGUAGCGGGUGGAAGAGCAGAAGGGUGAACGCCCAUCUGUCAAGAGCUCUGUGAAGAAGAGGAGCGAUGGCUCGAAGCAGCCCCAGGCCACAUUGCCUUCUAGUCAAAGGGUGAAGUCGACCUGUGAUGGACGCCUCCUCCAGCGUCCAAAAGCCCAGGUGACGUUACCUCCAGCCAGGGAUGAAACGGAGACGCUCCAGAAGCUUUACGAUCUCCUGGAAGCCAAGGGGUUUGAGACACGGAUGGAAGGAGUGGCACUCCUCCUAGACGUGUGCAAAACCAGCCCCAAGCUCGUCGCCACUAACAUUGUCCAAAUUUUUCAUCAUUUUGACCUGAGAAUAUCUGACACUCACAAGAGAGUGAAGCAGAUGGCGCUGGACGUGCUGGCAGAAAUCAUAGCCAUCCUGGAAGAUGCCUUGUACCCAGUGAUGGUCCUUUUGGUGGAAGGAAUACUA